rnacentral:tRNA from 1 species
GGAAAUGUGGCUUAGUGGUAGAGUGCUUGCCUAGCAUGCAUGAAGUCCCGGGUUCGAUUCCUCAGUACCA